CACGAAGGGGGCGGGCGUUGUUCGGAAUCACUGGGCUUAAAGGGCGCGUAGGCGGGUGCUCAAGUCCGGGGUGAAAUCCUCCAGCUCAACUGGAGAACUGCCUCGGAUACUGGGUGCCUCGAGUGUGGUAGGGGUGUGCGGAACUAUCGGUGGAGCGGUGAAAUGCGUUGAUAUCGAUAGGAACUCCGGUGGCGAAGGCGGCACACUGGACCACAACUGACGCUGAGGCGCGAAAGCCAGGGGAGCAAACGGG
rnacentral:rRNA from 1 species